GCAUUGGUGGUUCAGUAGUAGAACUCCCACCUUCCAUGCUGGAGACCCAGGUUCGACUCCUGCCAAGGCA
rnacentral:tRNA from 1 species